AUGGGAUGUUGGAAAACGUUGAGCUCGAGUUCUUAAACAGGCUGGAACUCAUGUAAUUGUUACUGAAAUUGAUCUUAUCUGUGCUCUUCAAGCUUGGAUGGAAGUUCUUCAAGUCUUGAACUUAGUAUGGGAUUGUGUAUCAUUUACAUGUCUGCAACAGAAAUAAAAGCAUAAUUGUAUUUGAUCUCUCUUGGCUGGUUAUCGUGGCUGUGAUGAUCAUCUUGAAGAUAGUGUCACUUGGUAAGAGAAAGUUCAGCGCAGAUUUUCAGACUGCUAAAGGCGUUGAUGUUCUUUGGAUUUAUAGUGAUGGUUAGCAUCCUCUUUAUGUUUGUGAAUCUUAAAGUUGGUGACAUCUUUGCGAGCAAAGAGCACAACAGCUGAUCCAAAUGCAUUGAUUGAUGAAUGGAGAAUACACAAGAAGCAAGUUAUGGCUUCAUGACCUUGCUGGAAGUGAGAGAUUAGCCAAGCCAGACGUUUAAGGAGAUCCGCUGAAAGAAACUCAAAUUAUUAACAGAUCCUUAUCUGCACUGGGAGGUGUGAUAGCAGCGCUGGCGACCAAAAUCCCACAUAUUCCUUUCAGGAAUUCAAAGCUCACUCACUUGCUCCAAGAUUCUCUAGGGUGACAAUUGCUUUUCAAUAAAGCAACAACUUGUAACAUACAGAAGCAGCUGUAAACUGGAGAAUUUGGACCAAGUUGAAGAAAAUCUCUUGCCAUGAGUCUUGAGUCCAACCAACCAUCUUCAGCAUCAGUUUUCAAUAGCUGGUUGUAUAUGAAUGAAUAGUUACUCUUUUGUACUUUAA